rnacentral:rRNA from 1 species
UACGUAGGGGGCAAGCGUUGUCCGGGAUCAUUGGGCGUAAAGAGCGUGUAGGCGGCUUGGUAAGUCCGCUGUGAAAGUCCAGGGCUCAACCCUGGAAUGCCGGUGGAAACUGUCAAGCUUGAGUCCGGAAGAGGCGAGUGGAAUUCCUGGUGUAGCGGUGAAAUGCGCAGAUAUCAGGAGGAACACCAAUGGCGAAGGCGGCGCGCUGGGACGGUACUGACGCUGAGACGCGAAAGCGUGGGGAGCAAACAGG